CGAACGGCAGCACAGAGGAGCUUGCUCCUUGGGUGGCGAGUGGCGGACGGGUGAGGAAUACAUCGGAAUCUACUCUGUCGUGGGGGAUAACGUAGGGAAACUUACGCUAAUACCGCAUACGACCUACGGGUGAAAGCAGGGGAUCUUCGGACCUUGCGCGAUUGAAUGAGCCGAUGUCGGAUUAGCUAGUUGGCGNGGUAAAGGCCCACCAAGGCGACGAUCCGUAGCUGGUCUGAGAGGAUGAUCAGCCACACUGGAACUGAGACACGGUCCAGACUCCUACGGGAGGCAGCAGUGGGGAAUAUUGGACAAUGGGCGCAAGC
rnacentral:rRNA from 1 species